AUGUCACAUUUGCUCUUCCUUGUGUUGCUAAGGACACUGAUGGGUGGGGUUUGCUUACAGCGCAGGACCGAUAAUUCUGAUAGUAUGCCAAGGACUGCUCAGGGUUCCUACCACUUUCUGUUUUACCAACUAAGUAUUUUCCCGACUCUGAAAUUUGGUGAUAAAGAAAAGAAUCCAGGGUGGAUGGAGGGUUUCAUGAUGGCUAAUUUGAUUUGUUAUGGUUCUGAUGGUGUGCUUCUUGUGUUUGAACUGAAGCCGUGGAUCACUCAUCAACCUGGUCUGUGUUUGUAUGGUCAGCUACCAGAACUUCCUGCUGCUGAUCCUGGGAUGUUUCCGAACAUGCUCCCGAACAUGCUCAAUCUAUCCGCCCUAGGACAGGUUACUCGGCAUGCUCGGUGUGUUUACUUCGGUGGACUUCCUCCGAUCGCUAAUGAACAGGCAUGCAAGGAACUUCGUGAUUUCUUUCUCAAGCUGUAUGAGGUGAUUCAGUAUGGUUUCUUUGUCUCCGUUGGCAAUUCGAGCGUCUUCGACCGCUUGGAGUCAAAUUCUUUAUCGACUCCAGCAUUGGGCUAA
rnacentral:rRNA from 1 species